AAUUGUGAUGAUGGUAACUACUUAAACACUGAGUAAAAAUUCAUUAUAUGUUAUUAAAACAAUAAUAAAACUGAAGGCUUAUAUGGGAGGAUAAGAAAUAGAACAGGUUGCUGGAGAAUAGGAAAAAAGAGGAGACAGAAAUUCUAAUCAAACUGUAUCUAGCAUUCUCUCUCCACUAUAGGAAGAGCAAAUGGACUAAGUACUCUGGACCCAAUCCUAGAUAUAAAGAAGAUAAUCCUCCCUUUCCUUUGAACAUAACUAAUGAACAUCAGUGUGUAAACUAUUCAGAGAAUUCAAAGAUCCAGAAUUCUUCAAUCGCUUCUCGGCCUUUUGGCUAAGAUCAAGUGCAGAAUUCUUCAUCCUGCAAAUUGUCCUUCAGACCUUGUAAGAAAUGGAAAAGAGCUUUUUCAGGGAGAUGGAAAACAUGGUCAGAAAGUUGGAAACACAUAAAUAAUGGAAGAGAACUAAAGAAGGAAUAAGUGAAGGUGCACCCAUUGUAACAAAUACUCCACUGUGGGUGAUGCAGGAUGCCAUAUUUGGAGAGUCCAUGCAGCAUGAGGAAAAUCUGUGUACCUUCUGCUCAGUUUUGCU